rnacentral:rRNA from 1 species
UACGGGGGGAGCAAGCGUUGUUCGGAUUUACUGGGCGUAAAGGGCGCGUAGGCGGCCUGCUAAGUCGGAUGUGAAAUCCCUCGGCUCAACCGAGGAACUGCAUCCGAUACUGGCGGGCUUGAAUCCGGGAGAGGGAUGUGGAAUUCCAGGUGUAGCGGUGAAAUGCGUAGAUAUCUGGAGGAACACCGGUGGCGAAGGCGGCAUCCUGGACCGGUAUUGACGCUGAGGCGCGAAAGCUAGGGGAGCAAACGGG